UACGGAGGGUGCAAGCGUUAUCCGGAUUCACUGGGUUUAAAGGGUGCGUAGGUGGGCUAGUAAGUCAGUGGUGAAAUCUCCGGGCUUAACCUGGGAAUGGCAUUCGGGACUGCAAGGCUGGAGUGCGGCAGAGGAGACUGGAAUUCCUGGUGUAGCAGUGAAAUGCGUAGAUAUCAGGAGGAAUACCGAUGGCGAAGGCAGGUCUCUGGGCUGACACUGACGCUCAUGCACGAAAGCGUGGGGAGCAAACAGG
rnacentral:rRNA from 1 species